rnacentral:rRNA from 1 species
AGAGUUUGAUCAUGGCUCAGAAUCAACGCUGGCGGCGCGCUUAACACAUGCAAGUCGCACGAGAAAGUGGAGCAAUCCAUGAGUACAGUGGCGUACGGGUGAGUAACACGUGGAUCAUCUACCUUUUAGUGGGGAAUACCCCCGGGAAACUGGGGAUAAUACCGCAUAAGCUCGUAAGAGGAAAGCAGCAAUGCGCUGAAAGAGGAGUCCGCGGCUGAUUAGCUAGUUGGUGAGGUAAUGGCUCACCAAGGCGAAGAUCGGUAGCCGGCCUGAGAGGGCACACGGCCACACUGGCACUGAAACACGGGCCAGACUCCUACGGGAGGCAGCAGUGGGGAAUCUUGCACAAUGGAGGAAACUCUGAUGCAGCGACGCCGCGUGAGCGAUGAAGCCCCUCGGGGUGUAAAGCUCUUUCGACGGGAACGAUAAUGACGGUACCCGAAGAAGAAGCUGCGGCUAACUACGUGCCAGCAGCCGCGGUAAUACGUAGGCAGCAAGCGUUGUUCGGAAUUACUGGGCGUAAAGAGUGUGUAGGCGGUGCUCUAAGUCUGUUGUGAAAUCUCCCGGCUUAACUGGGAGGGUGCGGCGGAAACUGGAGUGCUCGAGGAUGGGAGAGGUAAGCGGAAUUCCUGGUGUAGCGGUGAAAUGCGUAGAUAUCAGGAGGAACACCUGUGGUGUAGACAGCUUACUGGACCAUUUCUGACGCUGAGACACGAAAGCGUGGGUAGCAAACAGGAUUAGAUACCCUCGUAGUCC